UUCUGACGAAAGUUGGAUUAACAAGAAGAUCAUGAGGAUCCUCAUCGCUUUGGCAAUCGUGGUAGCUUCGCUCGCUGUCAGCGUCGCCGGUUACUGGGGCGGAUCUCUCGGCUAUGGAGGCUGGGGCGGAUACGGGCACACUGUCUCCUCUUAUCCUGUCGCUGUCAGCUACGGUCACGGAUACGGACACGGCUACGGCUCCGGAUACGGUCUCGGCUACGGCAACACAGGCUACUACGGAGGAUACUGGAAGAAAUAAAUCCGCAUCUGGACGAUCGAUCCGCUGGGAAUAAAAUCUCGGAAACCGCAUUCUGAA